rnacentral:rRNA from 1 species
UACGGGGGGAGCAAGCGUUGUUCGGAUUUACUGGGCGUAAAGGGCGCGUAGGCGGCCAGCACAAGUCAGUUGUGAAAUCUCCGAGCUUAACUCGGAAAGGUCAACUGAUACUGUGCGGCUAGAGUGCAGAAGGGGCAACUGGAAUUCUUGGUGUAGCGGUGAAAUGCGUAGAUAUCAAGAGGAACACCUGUGGCGAAGGCGGCUCACUGGUCCGGUACUGACGCUGAGGUGCGAAAGCGUGGGGAGCAAACAGG